rfam:Geobacillus sp. B4113_201601 NODE_61, whole genome shotgun sequence.
UUCUUAUCAAGAGAGGGGGAGGGACUGGCCCGGUGAACCCUCAGCAACCUGGCGGGCGGCCAAGGUGCUAAAUCCAGACAGGCAGCAGCCUGGAAGAUAAGAA